AUACUCACUUCAGCAACACAUAUGUUGAAUUUGCAAUGAUACAGAGAAGAUUAGCAUGGCCCCUGCACAAGGAUGACAUGCAAAUUUGUGAAGUGUUCCAUAAAACA
rnacentral:snRNA from 1 species